CCGUCUACGGCCAUACCACCCUGAAUGCGCCCGAUCUCGUCUGAUCUCGGAAGCUAAGCAGGGUCGGGCCUGGUUAGUACUUGGAUGGGAGAACACAAAACCCUCAUGAGUAUCAGUAAAGCCAGAUGGU
ensembl:rRNA 5S_rRNA 5S ribosomal RNA